rnacentral:rRNA from 1 species
GACGAACGCUGGCGGCGUGCUUAACACAUGCAAGUCGAACGGAAAGGCCCUGCUUUUGUGGGGUGCUCGAGUGGCGAACGGGUGAGUAACACGUGAGUAACCUGCCCUUGUCUUUGGGAUAACUUCAGGAAACUGGGGCUAAUACCGGAUAGGAGCUCCUGCUGCAUGGUGGGGGUUGGAAAGUUUCGGCGGUUGGGGAUGGACUCGCGGCUUAUCAGCUUGUUGGUGUGGUAGUGGCUUACCAAGGCUUUGACGGGUAGCCGGCCUGGGAGGGUGACCGGCCACAUUGGGACUGAGAUACGGCCCAGACUCCUACGGGAGGCAGCAGUGGGGAAUAUUGCACAAUGGGCGGAAGCCUGAUGCAGCAACGCCGCGUGCGGGAUGACGGCCUUCGGGUUGUAAACCGCUUUCGCCUGUGACGAAGCGUGAGUGACGGUAAUGGGUAAAGAAGCACCGGCUAACUACGUG